GUGCUUGCUUCGGCAGCACAUACACUAAAAUUGGAAUAAAUGAAAGAUUAGCAUGGCCCCCAUGCAAGGAUAACAUGCAAAUUCAUGAAGUGAUUUAAAUUUAA
ensembl:snRNA RNU6-788P RNA, U6 small nuclear 788, pseudogene